AGUCGACGAUGAAUCUUCUAGCUUGCUAGAAGUGGAUUAGUGGCGCACGGGUGAGUAAUGCAUAGGUUAUGUGCCCUUUAGUCUGGGAUAGCCACUGGAAACGGUGAUUAAUACUGGAUACUCCCUACGGGGGAAAGUUUUUCGCUAAAGGAUCAGCCUAUGUCCUAUCAGCUUGUUGGUGAGGUAAUGGCUCACCAAGGCUAUGACGGGUAUCCGGCCCGAGAGGGUGAUCGGACACACUGGAACUGAGACACGGUCCAGACUCCUACGGGAGGCAGCAGUAGGGAAUAUUGCUCAAUGGGGGAAACCCUGAAGCAGCAACGCCGCGUGGAGGAUGAAGGUUUUAGGAUUGUAAACUCCUUUUGUUAGAGAAGAUUAUGACGGUAUCUAACGAAUAAGCACCGGCUAACUCCGUGCCAGCAGCCGCGGUAAUACGGAGGGUGCAAGCGUUACUCGGAAUCACUGGGCGUAAAGAGUGCGUAGGCGGGGUAAUAAGUCAGAUGUGAAAUCCUGUAGCUUAACUACAGAACUGCAUUUGAAACUGUUACUCUGGAGUGUGGGAGAGGUAGGUGGAAUUCUUGGUGUAGGGGUAAAAUCCGUAGAGAUCAAGAGGAAUACUCAUUGCGAAGGCGACCUGCUGGAACAUUACUGACGCUGAUGCACGAAAGCGUGGGGAGCAAACAGGAUUAGAUACCCUGGUAGUCCACGCCCUAAACGAUGGAUGCUAGUUGUUGCCUUGCUUGUCAGGGCAGUAAUGCAGCUAACGCAUUAAGCAUCCCGCCUGGGGAGUACGGUCGCAAGAUUAAAACUCGAAGGAAUAGACGGGGACCCGCACAAGCGGUGGAGCAUGUGGUUUAAUUCGAAGAUACGCGAAGAACCUUACCUAGGCUUGAC
rnacentral:rRNA from 1 species